rnacentral:rRNA from 1 species
ACUCCCAAACCCAUGUGAACUUAUCUCUUUGUUGCCUCGGCGCAAGCUACCCGGGACCUCGCGCCCCGGGCGGCCCGCCGGCGGACAAACCAAAACUCUUGUUAUCUUAGUUGAUUAUCUGAGUGUCUUAUUUAAUAAGUCAAAACUUUCAACAACGGAUCUCUUGGUUCUGGCAUCGAUGAAGAACGCAGCGAAAUGCGAUAAGUAAUGUGAAUUGCAGAAUUCAGUGAAUCAUCGAAUCUUUGAACGCACAUUGCGCCCAUUAGUAUUCUAGUGGGCAUGCCUGUUCGAGCGUCAUUUCAACCCCUAAGCACAGCUUAUUGUUGGGAACCUACGGCUUCGUAGUUCCUCAAAGACAUUGGCGGAGUGGCAGUGGUCCUCUGAGCGUAGUAAUCUUUUAUCUCGCUUCUGUUAGGUGCUGCCCCCCCGGCCGUAAAACCCCCAAUUUUUUCUGGUUGACCUCGGAUCAG